GUUCAGUUCACUAGUUUCCUCAUCUCCCAUCCCAUUUUGCAUUUUCAUCCAGAUCAGCCCUCCCAAGUGUUGGAUGCUUGCAAAGGAGAAGAAACAAGGCAAAGGAACUCCGGUGGUUUUGUGUGCUGCUCUCUCAUGCCUUGUUGAAGAGUAGGAGUGGCUGGAUAACAUGUGAAGAAGCACUCUAGUUUACCGCAGGCCAAAGUGAAAAAACUUGCUGCAAAUGAUUUGUUUCUUCGUCUCUGUGCUCAUUUGGGAGAAUGGAGCAGAUACUGACAGCAGGGUGUUCUGGGAAGGAGCAGAGAUGGCAACUAUGUGCCCUGAACUUCUGUGAGGGUAUUUCCGAGGUCAUCAGCGGUCCCAUGGGGGAAAUGAGUCAGCAAAAGCCAGCUUAUCAUCAGCGCGUUCACUGAUCGGCCUUCUCCACUGAGUGCCCUCAGGAGUGAUGUCCUUCCUUUGAUCCCUCACAAUGUCACCUCGGAGCGAGGAACCGCAGUUGCACUGUAGGUCCUUUUUUGUUAAUUGCGCUGCCAUUUCCUUCUGGCAAUGAGCUGCAGAUCUCAGCGACCGCUGCGAGGAGCACCGCGUUAUCCCGAGCAGCUCUGAGUCACCGCGCAGCCACGGCCGUGUCACAGAGCCGAGAACCGCUGCCAGCGGAGAGGGACCCUUCUCACCUCCCACCGCUAUCAAAUGUCACCCACCCAUCUAUCUCAGCGUCCCUCAUUAUGAAGCUCAUCACUCAUUUCAGAAUGGGCGUUCCACGCAGAACGCCGCAUCCUCUCACUUUAUUAACAGCCAGCAGGGCUGACAUUGCACUUCGCGGGCACCGCUGCAGCGUCAGGGCGCGCACAGCCCCGCCUCGCCUGUAAGCCGCCGCCGCCUCAGG
ensembl:lncRNA